rnacentral:rRNA from 1 species
CAGUAGCCGCGGUAAUACGGAGGGUGCGAGCGUUGUCCGGAUUUAUUGGGUUUAAAGGGUGCGUAGGCGGCCGUUUAAGUCCGGGGUGAAAGCCCGCUGCUCAACAGCGGAACUGCCCUGGAUACUGGACGGCUUGAGUACAGACGAGGUUGGCGGAAUGGACUGAGUAGCGGUGAAAUGCAUAGAUACAGUCCAGAACCCCGAUUGCGAAGGCAGCUGACUAGGCUGUUACUGACGCUGAGGCACGAAAGCGUGGGGAGCGAACAGGAUUAGAUACCCCAGUAGUCCCUGUCUCUUAUAA